UACCAUAAGCGUAUUUGGAAAACCAAUUGUAUUAUGACACAUAGAUGAAGAGAUAGAAGCAUCUUCUCCACUUUUUUUUUAUUAUUUAUCAUUUUAACGUGUAGCUUUCUCUCUCUCUCCUUCGAGCGUGUAGGGUUAAGUAAGUGUCUCCCUCUCUACCUAUAAAUAUGUGUCUAUAAACCCCUAAAUUCACUCGCACUCUCAGCACUUUCACUUACCUCAAAACCGCUUCCUAAAACCAUAAGCUGUUUCCCGACAAAACCUAUUUCCUUUCGAUACUAUCCAAGAGUUACUCCCAUAUUUCAUCGACAAUAAAAAGAGUGAGCCAAAGAUGGAGUGAUAGAUCAAGCUAGCAACGGAACAAUAAACAUAAAAAGAUUUGAUUUUUCUGAUUUUAUCACAGCCAAAACUUCAAAAGAUCUUUCAGAAUCCCAAAGACCAAAACAAACAGCAAAAAUGUCUCAGUCAAACAUGGUACCAGUGGUUAACAACGGAGAUGGUGAUAACAACGAAAACAACAACGUUAGCAACAACAAUGGUGGAGCUGACAACACUAAUGCUGGAAAUCAUUCUGGAGAUCAAGAACUCGAAAGUGGGAAUACCUCAAGUGGCAAUCAUGGAGAAGGGUUGCGAAACAACCAAGCUCCUCCUCCUAAGAAAAAAAGAUACCAUCGUCACAGCCAAAUUCAGAUUCAGGAGUUGGAAUCUUUCUUCAGAGAGUGUCCUCACCCAGAUGACAAUCAAAGGAACGCACUUAGCGUUCAAUUGGGAUUGGACCCUGUUCAGGUCAAGUUCUGGUUCCAGAACAAACGCACUCAAAGCAAGGUAUGUAUAUAUAUGUAAUAAAUUUACACAAUCUCAUACAUAUUUAAUGUAUGUAUAUAUAGGCAUAUGAGUAGGUUUUGAUUCUUGGUAUAUACGUGUACAGAGUAUGAUGAUUCCACAUACAUAUGUUAUAUGUUGAACUGUA